rnacentral:rRNA from 1 species
UACGUAGGGUGCGAGCGUUGUCCGGAAUUACUGGGCGUAAAGCGUGCGUAGGCGGUUUGUUAAGUCUGUUGUGAAAUCCCCGGGCUCAACCUGGGAAUGGCAAUGGAUACUGGCAAGCUAGAGUGUGUCAGAGGAUGGUGGAAUUCCCGGUGUAGCGGUGAAAUGCGUAGAGAUCGGGAGGAACAUCAGUGGCGAAGGCGGCCAUCUGGGACAACACUGACGCUGAGGCACGAAAGCGUGGGGAGCAAACAGG